rnacentral:rRNA from 1 species
AUGAACCAUCAGGCUUUGCCUCUGCUUGGCGUAAUAGGCUUCUUGGCGGCAUGUGUGGCGGGGACUGCAGAGGGCGACCGGCGGCCGUACAUCGUGCAAAUGGACGUGUCGGCGAUGCCGACGCCGUUCACGACGCACGAGGGCUGGUACACGUCGGUGCUGUCGUCGCUGUCUGGCAGGGACGAGGAGGCGGCGCCGGAGCACCUGUACACGUACGCGCACGCCAUGCACAGCUUCAGCGCGGUGCUCACCCCGCGGCAGCUCGCGGAGAUACAGGGGAUGGAGGGGCACGUGACCGCCUUCCCGGAGACGUACGCGCGGCUCCACACCACGCGCACGCCCGAGUUCCUCGGGCUCACCGGCGGCGGCGCUGGCGCUGGCGGCGUCUGGCCGGCGUCCAAGUACGGGGAGGACGUGAUCGUGGGGAUCGUCGACACGGGCGUGUGGCCCGAGAGCGAGAGCUUCAGCGACGCGGGCAUGACGACCAAGGCCGUGCCGGCUAGGUGGAAGGGCGCGUGCGAGGCCGGCAAGGCCUUCAAGGCCUCCAUGUGCAACGGGAAGCUCAUCGGGGCGCGCUCCUUCAGCAAGGCCCUCAAGCAGCGCGGCCUCGCCAUCGCGCCGGACGACUACGACUCGGCCAGGGAUUACUACGGCCACGGCUCCCACACCUCGUCCACUGCGGCCGGCAGCGCCGUCAAGGGCGCCAGCUACUUCGGCUACGCCAACGGCACGGCCACCGGCAUCGCGCCCAUGGCCAGGCUCGCCAUGUACAAGGCCGUCUUCUCGGGCGACACCCUGGAGUCCGCGUCCAGCGACGUGCUGGCCGCCAUGGACCGAGCGAUCGCCGACGGCGUCGACGUCAUGUCGCUCUCGCUGGGCUUCCCUGAAACUUCCUACGACACCAAUGUCAUUGCCAUCGGGGCCUUCGCCGCCAUGCAGAAGGGAAUCUUCGUUACGUGCUCGGCCGGGAACGACGGCUCAGACGGGUACACCAUCAUGAAUGGCGCGCCCUGGAUCACCACCGUCGGCGCGUCGACCAUCGACAGGGAGUUCACGGCGACCGUCACGCUCGGCAGCGGCAGCGGCGGCAAGAGAAUCCACGGCAAAUCUGUGUACCCGGAGCACACAGCGAUCGCCGACGCCGACCUCUACUACGGCCACGGCAACAAGAGCAAGCAGAAGUGCGACUACUCCAGCCUGAGCCGCAAGGAGGUGAGCGGGAAGUACGUCUUCUGCACCACCGGUGAGAGCCUCAGGGAGCAGAUGGACGAGGUGCAGGGCGCCGGCGGCCGCGGGCUGAUCGCCGCCAGCAACAUGAAGGAAUUCCUGCAGCCGACUGACUACGUCAUGCCGCUGGUGCUGGUCACCCCGUCGGACGGCGCCGCUAUCCAGAAGUUUGUGACGGCCACCAAGGCGCCCAAGGUGAGCAUUCGGUUCGUCGGCACGGAGCUCGGCGUCAAGCCGGCACCGGCCGUGGCGUACUUCUCCUCCCGCGGGCCGACCCAGAUGAGCCCGGCGAUCCUGAAGCCGGACAUCGUCGCGCCAGGGGUGGACAUCCUCGCGGCAUGGGUGCCCAACAAGGAAAUCAUGGAUAUCGGCAAGCAGAAGCUCUACGCCAAGUACAUGCUCGUCUCCGGCACGUCCAUGGCGUCGCCGCACGUCGCCGGCGUGGUCGCCCUGCUGCGGUCUGCGCACCCCGACUGGAGCCCGGCAGCCAUCCGCUCGGCCAUGAUGACUACGGCCUACGUGAAGGACAACGCCAACAACGUCAUUGUCAGCAUGCCAAAUCGAUCACCGGGGACGCCUCUCGACUACGGCAGCGGCCACGUGAGCCCCAACCAGGCCACAGACCCCGGCCUUGUGUACGACGCGACGGCAGAUGACUACGUCAACUUCCUCUGCGGCCUCCGCUAUAGCAGCCGCCAGAUAGCGGCCGUUACCGGCCGGCGAAACGCCAGUUGCGCCACCGGUGCCAACCUUGACCUGAACUACCCAUCGUUCAUGGUGAUCCUCAACCACACGACUUCGGCCACCCGGACGUUCAAGAGGGUCCUGACCAACGUCGCCGGCUCGGCGGCAAAGUACAGCGUGUCGGUGACGGCUCCGGCAGGAAUGAAGGUGACGGUGACGCCAUCAGCACUGUCCUUUGGAGGCAAAGGCAGCAAGGAAGGGUUCAGUGUCACCGUGCAGGUCAACCAGGUGAAGAGAGCAGGAGAUGACUACAGCUACAUUGGAAACCAUGGGUUCUUGACCUGGAAUGAGGUUGGAGGAAAGCAUGCUGUCAGGAGUCCAAUAGUCUCAGCAUUUGCUCAGUGA